GAGGGCAGGAAGUGAUUUUUCUCCAUAAAAAUCACUAGGAGAAACUCAAAAUGGCUAUGUUUUGCACUGUUUAUGGAUGCUCAAAUCGGUCAAACCGAGAAAAAACAAAGAGUUUUUAUCGUGUAACAAAAGUUGUUUCUCAUACGGGGGGGAAUUUCAAGGAAUUGACUGAAAAAUGUAGGAAAAAAUUGUUUGAAAACCUUCAUCUUCUCUUCGGUUGGGAGGAGCCGAGUCAGCUAAUUUAAUGCUUGUGUGUGCAGUGACCAGUUUGUCAGAGGCUGCCCUAGUGCUUUAAAUGAUGUUGAGUCUGUAGACUGGGCUCCUACACCUCGGUUAUCAAAAAUGUAGGCCCACGCCAGAAGCAUCGCGUAAACGAACAGAGAGGUCGAUCAACAUAGACACGCAGAAGCUGCAGAGGCCUUGCUGGAUCUCCGUGAGUCAGCUGAGGACACAUAGCAAGAGGACAACACAGAGAUGUUACCUGAUCAACAAGAUGCAGAAUGCCAGACAGACCUAACCAUGGAUGGCAUUGAGAGGAUGAAAGAUGUUCUCAAACACACCACAACACCACACUGGGUGAUCUUAGAACUAAAGCACUUGACAUCCAAUUCAGCCAAGAGUCUUUUCAGAAGAACGAAGACUUGACAAAGUUUUACACUGGACUCCCUAACUUUUUGGUUUUAAUGCAGAUUUUUCAGCUGUGUGAGCCUUAUAUCACCUGUGGAUAUUUGUCUGUGCUUUCUAAAUUUGAACAGUUAAUUGUAAUUUUGAUGAGAUUGAGACUAAACCUUCCUCUGAAAGAUUUGGCUUUCAUGUUCAAUGUCUCUUACUCCACUGUUUCCAGAAUUUGGCACAAGUUAAUUGGCAUACUUCAUGAGAGAUUGGAGUUUUUAAUUGAGUGGCCAGAGUGACAUGUACUUCAAGCCACAAUGCCAGUGCCAUUCAGGCAAGCGUUUGGAUGUAGAGUUUUGAAUAUAAAUGUCAUGAUUUGAAAUGGUCAUUAAAUGAAUAAACUUUGGAUGUUAAUGAUAAAUGAUAUAUAAUACUUUGGUAGACUACAUGAUAGCAUAACAGUACACUGUUUUUAGUGAAUUUUGUAUAUAACCUAAGGGCUAAAUUCAAUCAAAAGCUACUGUGGUGUCAUGUAAAGUUCCCCACAAACAAAUAAAUACCAAAUUAGCUGUAAUAAGUUGGGUUAGUUGAUGAAGGACAAUUGAUCUAGCCUCAGUGGACAAAUAUAUAUAGCAGAACAGUGCUCUGCCAUGUGCCACAGUAGCUUUUUUUGAAUUUACCUUCAGACAUAUUAAAUUCAAUAUAAUUUACAAAGUGCACACUGUUUUAGUUCUUAUAAGUAACCACCAAUACUUUUUUGUUGUAGAAUUUAAUCUUUUUUUUAUUUAAUCUCCUCAGCAAACAUCUGCUUGCCAACAAAGAUACAUUCAUGUUAUUCAGUGUUUUUCUUUUGCAAAAUAUGACUGAAUCAAGUGCCUGAGCUGAUGUAAGGUAGUGUCCUUUAAUAAUAUUACAUGUCAAUAUGUUGUUUUGUAACUUUCUGUCCCAACACUUCAGGAAGUAUACAGUUUCUGAAAAAAAUCUCAACUCUGGCAAUCACAUCAUCCCAAAAGCCCAUGUCAGGUAUAAUCCUUUCCAAAAAAAAAAAUGUCAUUAGAGUUCCACAGUAGAAAAUUGCACAAUGUGAAGCUGUGCCUGGACUUGGUAGUAGUAAGCAUGGCUCCAGUCCAGUGUUAUCUCAUCCCCAUCUUUGAUAAAACAGAAUCCCUUGUCUCCAGCACACAGGCGCAGGUUAACUUUGUCUUGCUUGCAGUGUGGGCACUAAAAUUCACAGUAAAUGUUCACAGUGUUAACAGUUAUUUACUAUUAUCCACAGAUGCUGUCAUUUCCCAGAGUAGAGUAGGAUACAAAACAGUACUAUGUAAAGUACAUGUAUACACCUUUUGUACAUGUGCUGGCAUCAGUCACUUGCACUUUUCCAUUGUGCAGGAGGCUGUAUCUCGCAUCUUAACACCAGUUUCAAUGGAAAAAAGAACUGCCUCUACACGAGAACAGGAUUCUGACAAUCUGAAAAAUAAUAGAAUAGAAUUUCUUAAUUAACCACAAAUGGCUGAUACAUUAAGAUAUAAUAAUAUAUUAAGACUUUAUAGGGAUGCACUGAAAUGAAAAAUAAAAAAAAAUUAAAAUUUUGUAUGCACCUGACAGAAA